AAUUUUCGACAGCCAUUUGCACAUAGAAGAUAAGAUGUCGGGACAAAUUUUUUUUUUUCAUUUUGUAGUACAUAAAAUAAGCUUUAAUUUUAUAUAUGUUUAAAGGACGCAGUAUUUCCGGAACAUUUUCAAAAAUUAAGUUGAAAAAGUUAUUUUUUGUAAAAAAGUUACUAUUUUAAAUCCUCCCAGUGAGCAGAAUAAGUGUUAGAUUUUCAAAAAAAAUUAUAUCAAAUGAAAGGGAAAUAUCUAAGGUUUCAAUACAAAAAAAUAUUAUUUUUAUUUGUUCAUUUUUGAAAAAGUUAUGGCAGUUUUAAGUACAAAAAACAUCCCGAUAAAAUGUAAUUUUUAACGCAAACAUUACACUUUUUUUUAAAUUUUCGACAGCCAUUUGCACAUAGAAGAUAAGAUGUCGGGACAAAUUUUUUUUUUUCAUUUGAUAGUAUAUAACAUAACCUUUGAUUUGAUAUAUGUUUAAAGGACGCAGUAUUUCCGGAACAUUUUCAAAAGUUCAGUUGAAAAAGAUCUAUGUUUUUUACAAUAUUUUAAGUUUUGAACGCCCCCUAUAUAAGGGGAAAUUGUCCAAUUUUAAUAAAAAGUAUGUCAAAUGAAAGAUGUACUUAUAAUGUAUUUAGAAAAAAAAAAUUUGUGCUGAUAUAUACAUUUUUCAAAAAGUUAUAGCAUUUUUAAGUUGAAAAUUUAAAAUCGAAAAUCGAAAAUUUUAACACAAAAAUAGUGUUUUUUUAACUACGGCAGCCGUUUAAAUGUAGAAAAAAAAGUGUCGGGACAAAUUUUUUUUUUUCAUUUUGUAGUACAUAAAAUAAGCUUUAAUUUGAUAUAUGUUUAAAGGACGCAGUAUUUCCGGAACAUUUUCAAAAAUUAAGUUGAAAAAAUUAAUUUUUGUAAAAAAGUUGCCAUUUUAAAUCCCCCCCAAUGAGCAGGUUAAGUGAUAGAUUUUCAAAAAAAUGAUAUCAAAUGAAAGGUAAAUAUCUAAGGUUUUAGUAUAAAAAAAAAUUAUGUUGAUUUGUUGAUUUUUCAAAAAGUUAUGGAAGUUUUAAGAAAAAAAAGUGAAAAAAUUUCGAAAAUUAGCGAUUUUUAAAUUUGUAAUUUUUUUGGAUAUUUCCCCCAUUUGCGGGGAACGAGGGAAUUUUUUUCAAUUUUUAAGGGUAAUGUCUUCAACUAGAUACGAUUUGUGAUCUUUUGACGUAUUUUUGAAAGAAAUCGGUCCAGUGAGAGCUGAGAAAAAGUGGCAACAGACAUAAAAAAAAAAAAAAACACAUCAUAGUAAAAUUAAUACCUUCUCC